rnacentral:lncRNA from 1 species
AUUUACAAGCCUCCAUCGAAUCUCUGCAACGUGCAAUUUCAUAAGGUAGACGCAAGACGACUAGUGAAAUGAGUAAAUGUUUUUAUUUUGCUCUGUAUAAAUGCUCGUUCCAGGUUUUUGUGGCUUCAUCCAAAGUUGUGGCACCAGGUAAGCAGGAGUAGUUCCCCGUACGAAGCUCCACCGGACGCCAUCAGCUUUCACU